GGAUACUUGGUGGAACGGUAUCAUAACACCCUUCCAAGGUGUAGUCGUGGGUUCGACUCCCGCAGUAUUCA